GACGGACGCUGGCGGCGUGCUUAACACAUGCAAGUCGAACGGAAAGGCCCCAGCUUGCUGGGGUACUCGAGUGGCGAACGGGUGAGUAACACGUGGGUGAUCUGCCCUGCACUCUGGGAUAAGCCUGGGAAACUGGGUCUAAUACCGGAUAGGACCGUGCUUUAGUGUGUGCGGUGGAAAGUUUUUCGGUGCAGGAUGAGCCCGCGGCCUAUCAGCUUGUUGGUGGGGUAAUGGCCUACCAAGGCGGCGACGGGUAGCCGGCCUGAGAGGGUGUACGGCCACAUUGGGACUGAGACACGGCCCGCACUCAUACGGGAGGCAGCAGUGGGGAAUAUUGCACAAUGGGCGCAAGCCUGAUGCAGCGACGCCGCGUGGGGGAUAACGGCCUUCGGGUUGUAAACCCCUUUCGGCAGGGACGAAGCUUUUGUGACGGUACCUGCAGAAGAAGCACCGGCUAACUACGUG
rnacentral:rRNA from 1 species